AUACUAACCGGACGGGGUCAAUAGGUGAUUAAGAAGGUCCAUGGCCAAGGUUGGUGACUUCCAUUGCACUUUGGAGGGGCGCCCGCCUAAGGCCAACCCAAGUGGUUGAGCCUACAUUUAAUUUUUAGCCAUGAGGUCUUGUGUUAGCAUGACCCCUAU
rfam:Capsicum annuum cultivar Zunla-1 unplaced genomic scaffold scaffold3822, whole genome shotgun sequence